UACCUAGUCAUUUUUCGUCAUCAUUGCAUGUGAUCAUCAUUCUCAAAGCCGCUGUUUACUUCUAAGAUCACUUUAGCACCGCUCUAAAAACCCGAUUCAAAUUCGACACAAACCUUCAAAUAGAUGUGACCCUGUGCUAACAAGGCUCCUGAGCCAAUAUUCUCCAUUCCAGCUGGUCAGGACAGCCUUAAACAGCCCAUGGAGCAGCUCAGCCUGGACAGAGCUACAAACAGAUAAUAAAGACAAGUCCGUGAUUGGGCAUUCUCUCUUCAUCGUCCAAAAGCUGUUUAGUUUGGUCCGAAGAUUUUCUCAGUCUCUGUCUGGGGAACAGGAUCCAUUUCAUAAAGGGAUCAGAGGCACCAUCUUGGCCUGACUUCAUUGAGAUGUGCUUCUCUGUUUAAAUGGACUGUGUGGCCUGUUUUCUCUCCCACACAGAGAUGUCUUAAUCACGCUUGUUGUGCUGUGUGAGGGCCUUGUUGGAGAUGUUGGCCCUCAGGCACCCUGGUUAGGCUCUGUUGUACUGCUUGAUAAGGAUGGCGUUUUCCGGCCUCCUCAGGCCAGAGUUCAAACUAGCCCACAAACUAGCCCACCUCCUGCUGAACAACUCGGAGAUGUAGCAUCUCACGCUGAUCAAGCAAGUGCAACUCUGUAGGAAGCAAGCCAGACUUUUUGGACUCUUUCACAGUACAACAUCUGCAGAGGCUGACUGUGUCUUACCCCUUGUGUUGGUCUGGCCAGACACAUGACAUCAUACUGGGGAGGGAAAUGGGUGCACCUUACUAUGAAGAGACCAGGCUAGGAAUCAUCCACAGCUCAGUGCUGAUGGGAGAAUCCAAUGUUGAAGGCCUAUACAUUUCAAACCAAUAUAGACAGCAACGGAAUCCUCCCUUUUUCAUAUCUCCUGUCUGAAGUCAAGCUACCAGAGACUUCCUGUAUAUUUGUAAUUUUUUAUAUACUGUACUAAUGCAGAUUCUUUUUUUCUAUGCUAUCAUUGCCAAUGUACCACUACCUAUGUCUGUGACUACAAUCUUCAUAAUCACUGUUGACCAAACAGAAUGUUUAUCCUUGGGGUCAUUUCAAUAUAAUAAGGUCAGGAUUCAAUCAUUGCAGAUGGUAUAUUUUCGUACUUCACUUUUAGGGGUGGGUUAGAUUUACAUAAUAGCAUGUCUCAAAUUGUGCCAUUACUUUUUUAGAUAUAUGUUUUAGAUAUUUUCACUUCAUUUAGAAAGUAAGGAAAUCAGAGGGGGAGACCGGCAGGUGGGAGGAACAGUGGACACGGGGAUUGAACCCUGGUCCCCAGCGGGGAGUCUUACAUGCGACUUGUUCCGGGGUAUGUUUCCACCACAACACGGCUCUGCACAGAGAGUGCCAUUUCUUGAAAAGAAAGUACAUGUUAUGUCAUUCUUUCUCUAAACAACAACAGACUUUAAGGGUACAGAUGGGAGGACUGAGUUGUCCAACACUGGCUCACUGCAAUACAUGGCUCCUGCCUUCCACUGGUGCCAAAAGUCUUGUUCCCCUCAUGGGAGGGAGACAUGCAUGCAACCUGCUCCUGUCUCUUUCUGCAUGACACUUCAUAAUUAAAUGCUUUGCAAAAUGC
ensembl:lncRNA